GGGCUCGUAGCUCGAUUGGCAGAGCAGCAGACUUUUAAUCUGAAGGGUACGGGUUCGAGUCCCGCGGAGCCCACCA
rnacentral:tRNA from 1 species